UACGGAGGGGGCUAGCGUUGUUCGGAAUUACUGGGCGUAAAGGGCUCGUAGGUGGCCAACUAAGUCAGACGUGAAAUCCCUCAGCUUAACUGGGGAACUGCGUCUGAUACUGGAUGGCUUGAGUUUGGGAGAGGGAUGCGGAAUUCCAGGUGUAGCGGUGAAAUGCGUAGAUAUCUGGAGGAACACCGGUGGCGAAGGCGGCAUCCUGGACCAACACUGACACUGAUGAGCGAAAGCCAGGGGAGCAAACGGG
rnacentral:rRNA from 1 species